UGGAGAGCCUGAAUGCGAGCAGAAAUGAGCUGGGUGUGGAUGACGACACACUGCAGCAAUGGGCUGAAGAAACGGAUCAAACUGAUGGCAGCCUUGGAGCGUUGCAGGCACGAGUAGAGGAGCUUGUCGUCAUCAUCAGAAUAGCAACAAGAGGCGACACAGAAUUCACAAGGUCAUCUUAGAUGAGAAGAAACGCUUGGCGGCUGCUGUUGACGACUACAACAAGGAAACAAGCAACAAAGCAAAUCGUAUCCAGUGAUGCCCUCAUGCAGAGCGACGUUUGGCCCUGGCAGAGCACAAGUGAACCUGCUGCUGACCUCCGGACAAAGAGAAAGGUCUUUGAGAAGGUGAUGGCUGUGAGGCGCCUGAGAGAGGAGGAGAUGAUCCUUUGCAGGGAGAUGCAGCAUCACUGGACAGUGUUGCAAAUGCGAUCUGUGGUGUUGGGGACAAUCUCCUCAGACUCCUCCCUUGUUGGCAUGUCGGAGGAUGCACAGAAAGGACUCCAUAG